ACUCAAAUGAAUUGACGGGGACCCGCACAAGCAGUGGAGUGCCUGGUUUAAUUCGAUGAUCAGCGAAGAACCUCACCUGGGCUUGAACUGUAGCUGCAAACUCUAUGAAAAUAGAGCUCUUUCGAAGGUGCUAUAGAGGUGAUGCAUGGCUGUUGUCAGCUCGUGUCGUGAGAUGUCGGGUUAAGUCCCACAACGAGCGCAACCCCUUUCAGAUGUUAAAAUUACUUCUGAUACUGCCCCGCCCAAACGGGGAGGAAGGAGGGGAUGACAUCCAGUCAUCAUGUCCCUUAUGUCCAGGGCUACACAGACACUACAAUGGCGAUAACAAUGGGCUGCCAAACCGCGAGGUGGAGCUAAUCCCAUCAAAAAUCGUCUCAGUUCAGAUUGCAGGCUGCAACUCGCCUGUAUGAAGUUGGAAUUGCUAGUAAUCGGACAUCAGCAUGGUCCGGUGAAUACGUUCUCGGGUCUUGUACACACCGCCCGU
rnacentral:rRNA from 1 species